UACGUAGGGGGCGAGCGUUGUUCGGAAUUACUGGGCGUAAAGGGUGCGUAGGCGGCUUUCUAAGUUGGAUGUGAAAACUCUGGGCUCAACCCAGAGCCUGCAUCCAAAACUGGAGAGCUUGGGUUCUGGAGGGGAAAGCGGAAUUCCUGGUGUAGCGGUGAAAUGCGUAGAUAUCAGGAGGAACACCGGUGGCGAAGGCGGCUUUCUGGACAGAUACCGACGCUGAGGCACGAAAGCUAGGGGAGCAAACGGG
rnacentral:rRNA from 1 species